rfam:Arabis alpina cultivar Pajares chromosome 6, whole genome shotgun sequence.
AAAAAGGGUCGGAUGGCUAUUUAUGCCAGGCUCAGCCCUUAGUUUAAAAGGGGUGGGUGCUGUAUGGCAAUCAAGACAUAUGGCCGACGUAAUUUCUGGAACAAACCAUAGGGUUGGCUCGCUCGGCCGACCCUCCA